rnacentral:misc_RNA from 1 species
GAUGAAGAACGUAGCGAAAUGCGAUAAGUAAUGUGAAUUGCAGAAUUCAGUGAAUCAUCGAAUCUUUGAACGCACAUUGCGCCCGCCAGUAUUCUGGCGGGCAUGCCUGUUCGAGCGUCAUUUCAACCAUCAAGCCCUGCUUGCGUUGGGGUCCUGCGGCUGCCCGCAGGCCCUGAAAACCAGUGGCGGGCUCGCUAGUCACACCGAGCGCAGUAAUACAUCUCGCUUUGGGCGUGCGGCGGGUUCUUGCCGUUAAACACCCCCUUUUUACCAAGGUUGACCUCGGAUCAGGUAUGAAUACCCGCUGAACUUAAGCAUAUCAAUAAGCGGAGGA